UUUCGAGCGCCCGAGGUAUCGUCAUUUCCUCUUCCUGUCCGGCUGAGGGGGCGGGGACGUGUGGGUAAGCGGAGUCGCUGGGUAAUGCGCCAUGUGAGGCGCGGUGGGACUGUCGUUCCUGGACCAACGCCGAGACUUCCUAAAUCCCUCCGGAAAGGGAUGCGUUGGGCCUGUGAUCUGGCGACUAGGAGGGUCAGGAGUCCCAGUAGAGGGAAUCACGGGAAAAGAAUGAAAGAGGGAGGCGAGCCUGGCACGGCUUCCUGGAGAAACAAACUAAGCUAACAAAUUUUUCGGAUCCUUUGUGCAGCUAAUUUUACAGUACUGUUUCAUACAUCUUAUUAUAUUUGGACAUCACGGCCUGUUGAGUGGUCUCCCUCUCUGCUGCAAGCUCUGCUGUAAUCCAGAGACACUCAAUUAUCUCUGUAGGAUAAUUUAUUCAUUCGAUUAACAUACAUUACUACUAACUUUUUAUAAACCAGUACUGUUCCAAGCACCGGAGAUACAUAGCUAUGAACGAAACAAAUAUCCCUGCUCAGGGAAUUCACAAUAGAGUGAGGGGAAAUAAGCGAAUAAACAAUGAAUCUCUUGUUCUGAGGGAAGCCAUGUACAUCAUUAGCAGUUCUAUAAAGAGGAUCACAUGGCAAGAAACUGAAACAUUCUGCCAGCUGCCCUGUGAAAGAACUUGGAAGUAGACCCUCCAGCCCUAAUCAAGUCUUCAGAGACUGUACUCAGCCAACAAUUGACUGCAACCUCAUAAGAGACCCUGAGCCAGACCGCCCAACGAGAAACUGUGUGAGAUAAUGUUUGUUGUAUUAAGAUGCUAAAUUUGAGGGUCAUUUGUUAUACAAUGAGAGAAGUAGGAGGUAAGGGACUAUGAAAAGUUGGUAGAGUCAAGAAGUUGUAGGUUCCUGUGGUGGUCUAAAGUUUGUUAGAACAGGAUACUCAAAAGAAUGUGCUAAGAUAAGAGGUGGUCUGAGAGUAGGCUGCUUGGAGCUGAGUGUAUGCAGAGGUUGUGGUUAUUGGUGCUGUCAAAGUCUAUGGUAUGACCAAAGGAGGGAAAGCUAAGGUGGGUUAAAGAACAAGAUCACUGGAGAAGAGGUCAUAGAAACCAAACACCAGAGCAUUGAUUGGAUGAUCCAUGAGGAUACUGAAAUCACCAAAAAAUAUAACAAGAAUGAUGUUGGAGAAAGCCAGAAGCAACAAUCUUGAAAAGGCUUGGAGGUUGGUGGGUAAGUAUAGCUUGGAAACCCAAGCAUGGUAUAUUCUGGUGACAUGAGGUUCAAAGUUGGAGGUGAGGUUAAGAAAAAGGGAGGAUGUGGUUUAGCAAAAGCACUGAGUAACUGAAUAGCAAGAAGGAAACCCAUCCCACCUCCACCCAGAGGGGCAAGGAACAGAAAACAGCUACUAUUAGACUAUGGAAAUUAUGUUAGACAAAAAACAAAUGCAAGCAGUUUUCUUAUUCGAGUUCAAAAUGGGCUGCAAAGCAGCAGAGACAACUUGCAACAUCAAGAGUGCAUUUGGCCCAGGAACUGCUAAUGAACGUACAGUGCAGUGGUGGUUCAAGAAGUUUUGCAAAGGAUGGCCAGGC
rnacentral:lncRNA from 1 species